rnacentral:rRNA from 1 species
CAACGUCACGGUGAAUACGUUCUCGGGUUCUGUACACACCGCCCGUCAAGUCCCCGAAAACCGGCAGUGCUUAAAGUUAACUAAGGUUAAUAAGAGUAAGAUUGGUAAUUGGGAUU